ensembl:lincRNA
CCUCGCCGCCCCUCGCGCUGCUUCGCUCCGCGCUCUCCCGGCGCUUCCCCAGCUUCUCUGCACGCUCCCGCCGUCCCUCUCUGCUCCCUGCCUCCCUCCUCCCUGCUGCCUCCCUCUCUCUCCUCCCUGCUGCCUCCCUCUCUCCCUCUCUCCUCCUUGCCCUGUCGCAAUGAAUAAUACUCUGGCUUGGGGACUGGAAUAAAACACACGCGCUCUGAGGCAGCCGCCCGCAGCAGCAGCCGCCGCCGCGCCGCCGCCGCCGCCUGCAAAAGCGUCUCUGACAUGGAAAUGAAUGACAGCUUACCUGAUGCCAAUCUUCAUCAGACUGACACCGGCGUGACAACACAGCCUAUACUUCCCAGCACUGCUCGGGACGUCAGCGGCACAGGGACCCGCCCCCCGGACCCCCCCUUCACACACCUCCCCUCUCCCCACUCCCCCUUUCUCCCCACCCCCCAUCACCCCCACCCACUCCGGCCCGGCCGCUUCCGAGUCUGAGGAGCCGCUGGAGUGUCUCCCUCUACUGGAGGCUUUCCGCAGACGUCAGAGCCCGCCGCUCCGCCGGCGGGGAGGCGCGGAGGCGGAACGGCGCCCGCGCCCGGGAGGAAGCCUCCAAACCUUCCUCAGCCCAGUGGCCAUUUCUUUUGGAAGGCAUCCAAGAACUUUGCAGACAUGAUCUGAUGGCUGGUGGAAUUUCCUCUAUUUGGGGAAAAUUUAGGCCCAGAGAAGGAGCAAGAACAAGCCCCAAAGUGAGAAGAUGGAAACCAGAGCUCAAGAACAGUGGCUACACUCCUCACAGCUUCGGCUUGACCCUAUUCUGAAAUACCCUGAUGGAACAGACAGAAGAGGGCACUGGUGGCCCCCAGCCGAACGGGAGCAGUCUCCAGCUGCACAGUGAACUUCAAACCUUGUAAGCAAGUGUGGGCUCAGCCUCGCCACAGGCUGCAACAGCGCCUCAAGACAUCUGCCGAGCAGAAACCCCAUGGUUCUUCUAAUACUCUUACUCUUUCCCACAAAGUACCGCAAGUUUCCUAACCCCCACCACCAAAUGUUCCUGUAUAGGCUCCAGCUGAGCUUGCCAUAUAUAUCCUGCUAGCUGUCCCCUGGCAUUUUGCCUCUCGGGCUUUGGUCCUCUCUUCCUUCACAAGAGCUGAGGAAAUCAGAACUCACAGAAUCCUCCUCCGGCCAGCCAGUUGAUAUCAGCUCCCCAGAAAGGAUGCCCAGAUUGCAAACCCAGCGGCUGGGCAGGGCUGAUGGGGACAAAAUCUCUCUCUUGCUGUUUGAUGGCUUGAUAUCCUCCUCCUAAUCUGCAGGAGAACAAAGAGACAUUAAACCCCAGCUUAUCAUCACCGUGGGCACACUCCAGGAGAGGAUGCCAUCUUACAAAUAACAAAGAAAUCCCACGCACCCUACUGAUGAGGAGAAGUGAAAUGAGCCUUCUCUCUCCACACACUGGGGAGGAAUCACCAAAACCUAGAUAAGGAUUUAGUGUUCUGAGAAUCAGGCCCCCUUCUGACCAUGGGCUGCACUGUUCGUUCUUUCUCUCUGCUUUGCAGUACAGUGCAAGCACAGAGUAACACUCAAUAAACACUUGUCAAAUGAAUGGACAAAUGAUGAAUGAAGGGCCCUACUUUUAGGUAUCCAUACCAACGCACAUACUGUUACUUGGCUGGUGCCUGGCUAACAGGCAUAGCCUCCUGCCCUCCACUGAUACUGCAGGAGGGUAGAGGGCUAAAAGUUGAACCCAUCAUUCACAUAAAGUAGCUACUCCCCCAGUUGUCAGAAUUCCGGCUUUUCAAAUGAUGCUGAGCAUAAUCAGAGCUCAACUCCCUCUCUGUCCAUCAACCUAUUCCUAUUCUUUGGCCUGAGAGUUAGACUUUAGAAUUCCUUUCCAGUGUGCUAGACCUUCUCUGUUCCCCAAUAAGUCAAGUGAACUCAAUCAUCUGGCAGCGGAGUCCUCUAAAAGAUUUAAUUUGGCACUUCAUAAUGAUAAGGCAGACCAAACUUCUCCUUGCCUGGGCAAAACAGCCCUUUCAGAAAAUACACAAAAUAUCUGGCACCUGGUUGUUGAGCCAACAGGUUGGAUUUUCUCGGAAAACCAUUUGGAUUUGUAAGAACUGGCAAAUAAUUCAGAAAUCAAAAGCAUGGCCCUGAGCCUCAUUGAAGGGAGAAUCCUCCCCCUUCUCCAACACCAGGGUGGGGGAAAAGGCUUUUCAGAAAACACAAUACUUGCACUAACACUAAAGGAAGCUGUCCAGGUUUGCUUUUCAUUCUAUUGUCUUAUUCCGUCAGCUCCCACAUCUCCCCAAAUCUAGGCUUAAUAAUUUACAGCGGAAAGACAUUCAAUAAAUAAGUGGCAGGAUUGCAGCCAUCAGCUCCACACAAUGUGAUCAUUUGCGUCUCCCUACGUGGCAUCAGUGCCAGCUCUCCUGGCUUGCUCCAACUGAAACAAUCCCAUUUGCUAUUUUCAUAAAAUUAGUUCCUCUGCAGUUUCUAUUAAUCAGAAAGUUCUUUGGAAAGAAUUAUACUGGGUUUUCAUCACCAUCUGAGUUCAACCGCUCUGUGAAUCUGAUACAUUCUUACCACCUCUAUGAGGGGCGAAGAAAAUGAGACUUGGGUGGGCUGAUAUAAGCGGGCAGACAGCUCUCGCUUCAGAUUAGCUGAGGUCUGACGGUCCUUCAAACCUAGAUCGGUCUCCACCAUCACACACCUCAGCAGAUUUCUCCCCCAAACACAUCUUCUUUUACAUCUAUACUCCCAAAUCUUCUUGCGGUCAUGGACUCUUUUGCAAAUUUUAUGAAAGCUAUGGAUACGCCCCUCAGAGAAGCCCACCUAUGCUCACACACUAAACCUUACAAUUUCAGUGGGUCUGUGGGCACUCCCUCUCCUCUCCACACAUACGGCCCAUCCAUGGACUCCAGUAAAAACUGUCCUCUGCUUUUCUGAUUCUGAUCAUCCGUACCUCCCUUAAGAACCUUGGGCUAGUAUAGAAACUCAGUCAUGUCCAAAUUCCUUUGUCGAAGUAGAAAAAGAAGAGAGAUUUUUUUAAAACAGAGAAUAAGCAUAAGAGUGAGAAAGUUUUUCAUGAUGGCCAUACACCAUUUAUUUUUUAUUUUAUUUUAUUUUUGUAGAGAUAGGGUCUUGCUAUGUUGCCCAGGCUGAUCUCUAUCCUCCCACCUCGAUCUUUCAAAUUUCUGGGAUUAUAAGCAUGAACCACCAUGCCCUGCUAAUAAUACUUUUUGAGAGGUAAGAAAAACAGAAAACAGAAGGCAACUCAAAUUAGCAGAAAAAAAUAAUGAAAGUCAAAGUAUUCAUAAAUUGAUGCAUGUUGCACUGUAUUUGUGUGAAUGAGACAUGAGAUCAAAAUUUGAAAAAUUUUUAAUGAAUUCUCCUUGCCUUCAGCCUAUGUAACACCUAUCCCAUCCUAAGUAAGAUAAGCUCUAUGUGAGAAAAGACACAGCAUGGAUGAAAAAAGCCUUGGACCACUGGAACCAAGGUUCUAGAACUACCUCUUUUCAUUGACUAUGUGAUUUUAGGCAAGAGGUAAUUUAUCUGUAUUGAUGUGAGAUUUUAAAUUUUAACACUACAUGAUUUUCAAAGUCCCCAGACCUGAUUUAUUAGACACUUCUAAGGUAGUAAGAAUAAAAUAUUUUUCUUAAAGGGCCCAAUAGUAAAUAUUUUAGGCUAUGGGCCAUACAGUCUCUGUGGUGACUACUCAACUUUGCUGUUGUAAGGCGAAAGGAGCCAUAGACAACAUAUAAAUAAAUAAGUGUGCCUGUGUUCCAGUAAAACUUUACUUACAGACACUAAUAUUUGAAUUUCAUAUAAUUUUCAUAUGUCACAAAGCAUUUUUCUUCUUUUGAGUUUCUCUAACCAUUUAAAAAUGUGAAAUCAUUCUUAGCUUAUAGGUGGUACAAGCUAAAAUUAGGCCCAUGGGCCAUAGUUUGCUGACCUCUGGUUUAUAACAUUAGGUAAAUGUUGUGACCUGGAAAAUCAUGGUGGUAAUUCUGGGUGGCCUUGGAAGGUCCGUAACUUGACUUGAACUACUGACAGUAGUACUGGAGGGAAUUUUUUGUUUAUUCAGUUUCUCAGUUAGCAAAAUUGAGAAUCAGCAGAUUUAGUAGCCUUUCAGCCUCAGCUAAUAAUCCAACACUUACUUCAGUUUUUGGUACAUUUUCAGACCUGCAAAAACACUAAAUAAUCACACAUGAGAAAGUGUGUACAAAAAAAUACAGGGCAUGGCCGGGCGCUGUGGCUCACACCUGUAAUCCUAGCAUUCUGGGAGACCAAGGCAGAUGGAUCCUUUGAGCUCAGGAGUUGGAGACCAGCUUGAGCAAGAGCGAGACGCCCGUCUCUACUAAAAAUAAUAAGAAAUUAGCUGGAC